UACGGAAGGGGCAAGCGUUGUUCGGAAUCAUUGGGCGUAAAGGGCGCGUAGGUGGUUCUGUAUGUCUACCGUGAAAGUGUACGGCUCAACCGUAUUUUGUCGGUGGAAACUGCAGGACUUGAGGCUGGGAGGGGCUGGUGGAAUUCCCUGUGUAGCGGUGAAAUGCGUAGAGAUGGGGGAGAACACUCGUGGCGAAGGCGGCCAGCUAGACCAGUUCUGACACUGAGGCGCGACAGCGUGGGGAGCAAACAGG
rnacentral:rRNA from 1 species